GGGAGUGACGUCAAAGUGUGUCGGGGACAGCGAGCGGAGACACGGAAAAGGUCAAACUAAAGGCGAGGAGGAGCGGCCGGGCCGGGCCGGGCCGAGCCUAGGCCGAGCCUAGGCCGAGCCGGGCCGGGCGGCUCCGCGGGACCCGCCGGCUGAGCGAGGGCGGCGGCCGCCAGCGGGGGGCCGUGCCGGGGCCGGGCGAGGCGAGGCGCGACAGCCCCCUCCGGGGCAGCCCCUCCGGCCCCCACGGCCGCCCCCCGCCGCCGCCUCCCCUCACAGAUUGGAGGAUCUUCUGAAUCUUACGCUUAAAGGAUGCCUUUGAAAAGACCUCAUUUUCUACAGGCAGCUCUGUCACCUUGGACCAGAGACACCAGCUACCUUGAAAGAAGAAAAGGCAGACUCUAGGCACGAGUUGGAAUACUCUUGAGGAUGACAUGGAGACAUGUCAUGCAGAGAUAAGUCAUAAUCCCAUGGCGCCAGUGACAGCAUAAAACAAAAUUGGAUAAAUAGCCGGGAAAAGGAUACAGUGUGCAUGACUUACAAGAUCGGGAGUGUUGCAUAGGUAUUGCAGCAACGCUUCGGUCCUGAAGCCCUUGCAGACACGGCCUCUGCAUGGAACCGCAAGGUACGUGAAGGUUCUGCUGGUCCUAGGACAAAGUUCCUCCAUCCAGAUGGGAUAUCAUAAAAUCCUUUUGUUUGAGCUGCAGCUUUUCUGCUAGAAAAAUAGUGUUGUUUAGAUGGUCGCAGCAGUCCCAUCAUUCUCCUUCUGCAGUCAGUGGGGAAGUCUGGACGCUUCUGAAGACCCUGAGAAGCUGUGGGCAGACAGGCUCUGAAGAAUUCAGCUGCAGGUUUCUUUCCCAUAUAUUAGCAUACUUGUCCAUACAGAGCCAGGAGAGGAAAGUGUGCCCCUGUCUCAGUCGCUACUGCUUGAAGUUGACUUCAAAUGCUAAUGAAAGUGGGUCGGGAGUUGCCUGUGAGCUGAGGACAUGGAAAGGUGCCAUCUCUGAUCCCCAGGAAUGGGAAAUUCUUUCCUUAAUUACCAUCUUAUGUAAAAAAUGUAGUUAAAAGAAUAGGGAUGGUGAAUGUUGUGCUUUCAGACUGCCUGAAUUCUGUGGUGAUUUUGUAUGAGAAGCAGAUGUCUUUGAUUUUAAAAAUAUUCAGUUCCAUGUAGCUGACAGACAGCUGUCAGUUUAUAACUAACAGUGAUAUUUUUUUUACUGGAAAAGGUCGUCUUUCUGUAAACAGGAGAGACUAACCACCUCUUACUUGUUUAUGAGGAAAUCCCUAUUACUAUUCCCGUUUCCUUCUCUGGGACACAGUAAUGCAUGUGUACUGUUUCUUGUAAUUUUAAAACAUUUUUAGUAAGGAAGCAGUGAGUUCUGAACAAACUUAGGGUUGCCUUACCCACUGAGCUGGAUGGGUAGAUGAAGGCGUAUCAUGUUCUAUUUAAGGUUACUGGGGGGGAAAAAAACCACCAGUGGUAGAUAAAGUCUGAUACGUGCAUUUUAGUAGCACAAAUAAAGUGUAUGUGGGUACUUGGGUGUGCAUGUAAAAAAAAAAUAUAUGUAUUAUUUAAUUGGAGGAACUAAAAUUAUUUAGGUAGGGAGUGGUGGUGAUUCCCACUUUCCUAGGAGGGAGGUACGAAGUAUUUAAUGACAAGCUAAUCUUGCAGAAAACUGAUGAGGAUUAAGAACGGAGCAGCAGUCUGCUGAAGCCAAACGUGAUGCAAUGGCGAAUCAAAUCGAAAUCAUACAAAUCACGUAGGAACUGUCAAAUUUGUACGGUUUGCAGUUUGGGUAAAUCUUGGCUGUCAGAUUCCUACUGUAGAGUUAAAUCAAAGCCAGCAUGGUUGGUGCUGUUUUUCCUCUCUGCUCUCCUAUAAAUAGCUCGCUGUUCAGGGAGAGCUGUGGCAACUUUCCCAGCGGGAAUACGGUAACAAAGAUGUCCGUCUUCUACACCUGUCUCUGUGCCUUUUUCAGUUCCACUGUCUCUUAGUGGUAUUGAGAAUGUGCUAUUCGUACUCGGAAUUUACUUUUUCUAUUUGGCACACCUUUUUUUUGAGGUGAAGAGAAUGAAAUCAGGGUGCUGUUUGGAUGUUGCACUGUAUAUUUUUUUAUACAUCACAAAUAAAAUUAAUCUUCUAUUUUGAUAGUGCUACAUUUUUAAAAGCUUCUGGCAAAGUUUGCUUCCUCACAUACGCUUCUAUCUCAGCCCAGCUGCACGGCAUUCAUUUUGUACUAGACUAAAGGAACAGCACAUAACAUUUCUUCUUAACUUUCAUUUUUAAAAUAUCAUUUCUUGUCUCCCAGGAGCCUGUACGAGAACGCAAUCCCCAAAGUCCUUAAAAGAACAAGCAAAACCACCGCUGAAAUCUGCGCAGUGUUCCAGCUGUGCUGCCGUCUCUGGAUUGUCUGACAUCACCUCGCAGAGGAAAAACGCGCUGUACAGUUGAAAUAGGAUUAAACAGUAUAAACCUGCAAGCAGAAAUGUGAUUAAUACAGGGUAUUUCUAAGUCCUCCAAUUAUUAUAUUGCUACACUGAGAAAGGCAGAAUCUGUUUAUUAGAAGUGAUUUUAGUACGUAUAUAUUUUUUUUCUGAAGUUAUUUAUAAUUGUUGCCUUUCAGGCCUGCAGGAGAUAAUUUUUAAAUUAACUGUGCAGCGUAACCAGUAUCUGUAGACUAUAGAAUCCUGAGAUGGCGAGAAUUAUGAUAAGCCUCAUACUAAGCUCUGGAGAGAUUUGUAAAUGUGCAGUUUGCACUGCCCCAUUUUUAUUAGCAUUUUCAUUAUAAAGUUAUUACUGGAAGCAAUAAAGUUAAUGUUCUGUAACAAGAAAACAGCAAUUAUGCAGUCCUAAACACAGAACUCCACAUUAAAAAUAGCAGAUAAAAAUUACAGAUACAGUUACUCCAGACAGAUACAAAAAAAAAUAUUUAAGUGUUUACAGUAAAGCAAUGACAACUUGUCUUAAGCAUAAAGCUAGUUGCAAAACAACCUCCUAUAACUUCUGAGCAUUCACCUCCUUUGCGUUGUUAAGCAGGGCUUCCAAAAGUGCACAGCAUCACCUGGAGUUGUUUUCUCUUUGAAAUCGAUGAGAAAAUAAAAGCGAGGUAAAAAAAUCUGUGCUGAAUAGCGUUGAAGACACCUCUUCGACCUGCAGUGUGGUGGUCUGACUUCUGCCACACAGAUGAUCAAACUGGUGGAAUGGGGAUAAGGGGGAGUAUUAUUCACAAGAAGGUGAAGUUGCUUUAAGCACCUAAUGCUUUUGUUUAAUAUAGUGCUUUGAGUUUCUCUUUGGAGGAAUCCAUGUUUUUAUUCAGAUUUUUUUAAAUAAACAUUAAAUUAUAUACCUGGUAUACCCUAAAUUAUAUAUUUAAAAUACUUUGAGAAUGCUCUGCUUCAUGUCCUCUCCCAGAAUCUGCCUUAAAGGGACACUGCUGAACACCACCACAGCUGUAAACAUGGCUAGAGUUUUCCCUUAGUGGAAAACAACUUGCAGAUCCCAGGAAGAACUACUUAAUUACUGACCAAACUUUAGUCUUUGCUCUCAUUAAAUAAACAAUGGUCCUUUUAGUUUUAAAAUAAACAAAACCCGUUCCCUACAUGGCGAUACAGGUCCCUGAGUUGGAGGCGAAGGUGAUGGACUCAGACUGUCUCACAUGCAGCAAAGUGUGUAUCUACCGCAGCAUUCCUUGCAUGAAUAAAGAACCCCAACAGAUGUUUUGGGUUGGUUUCUUCAAUUCCACAGCAAGCGUACACAAAAUUGAAGAUUUUUUUUUUAAUCUAUUACAGUAUUUGGUUUGUCAUAUCUGAGUUCUGCACAUCUGUUAGAAUGUUUUAUCCAUUUGACUUCAUAAAAUGCUAAAGGAUUUUUUUCUUAAAUAUACUGGUAUGAUACAAAUCAGUAAGGUUGGAAAAUGAAGCACUGGAAGCUCAUUAAGUGUCAAAGUCAAGGCUGCCGGUGUCCUUCUGUGUUUAUCCUCUUGCUGAUAUUGUUUGUUACAGAUCCUUAGGUCUGUGAUCACAUAAUUUAUUAGUUUCUCUCACAGGACUACUGCUUCAUUUAGGCGAUUACACAGUGCUUGG